CAGAACCCCCACAUUCAACCUAUCCCGAGAUGGCUUGGAUCUGAGCGCUCAAUAUAUCCAAACAGCGCUCAGAUCCCACAAAUACAGUCAAAUCGCCAUACCCACUAGGUCCAUAGUCAUGGGGCAGAAGGCUGGCAAUUAGGCUUCUCCAUAACACAGGGAAGCAGGGCAAUUUGUCAAAUAAAAUAACAGUUACAAAUGGC